GACGAACGCUGGCGGUGUGCUUAACACAUGCAAGUCGAACGGUAAGGCCCUUUCGGGGGUACACGAGUGGCGAACGGGUGAGUAACACGUGAGUAACCUGCCCUCAUCUCUGGGAUAACAGUCGGAAACGGUUGCUAAUACUGGAUAUGAGCUUGCAAGGCAUCUUGUGGGUUGGAAAGAUUUUUUUUGGUUGGGGAUGGACUCGCGGCCUAUCAGCUUGUUGGUGAGGUAGUGGCUCACCAAGGCUUCGACGGGUAGCCGGCCUGAGAGGGCGACCGGCCACAUUGGGACUGAGAUACGGCCCAAACUCCUACGGGAGGCAGCAGUGGGGAAUAUUGCAUAAUGGACGGAAGUCUGAUGCAGCAACGCCGCGUGCGGGAUGACGGCCUUCGGGUUGUAAACCGCUUUCAAUUGUGACGAAGCUUUUUUGUGACGGUAGCAGUAGAAGAAGCACCGGCUAACUACGUG
rnacentral:rRNA from 1 species